UACGCCGUGCAGAUGUGCGAAUGGAAUCCGCGGCGAUCCACGUUAAACGACGUCCUUCGCACCGCUUGACCCAGUUCAUGCGGCCCAAUCACGGGAGAGAACGCUGAGCGUU
rnacentral:ncRNA from 1 species